rnacentral:rRNA from 1 species
UACGGAGGAUGCAAGCGUUAUCCGGAUUUACUGGGCGUAAAGGGAGCGUAGGCGGACUUUUAAGUGAGAUGUGAAAUACCCGGGCUCAACUUGGGUGCUGCAUUUCAAACUGGAAGUCUAGAGUGCAGGAGAGGAGAAUGGAAUUCCUAGUGUAGCGGUGAAAUGCGUAGAGAUUAGGAAGAACACCAGUGGCGAAGGCGAUUCUCUGGACUGUAACUGACGCUGAGGCUCGAAAGCGUGGGGAGCAAACAGGAUUAGAUA